CGGCUGGUGGCUGCGCGGGCUGGCAGCGGUGGCGCUGCUGGCGGCGCUGAGCGGGCCAUCGCUGCAGAGCGAGGAUCGUGCCCCGCUGACCGAC
rnacentral:tRNA from 1 species